rnacentral:rRNA from 1 species
GAGUAGGGCGGGACACGUGGUAUCCUGUCUGAAUAUGGGGGGACCAUCCUCCAAGGCUAAAUACUCCUGACUGACCGAUAGUGAACCAGUACCGUGAGGGAAAGGCGAAAAGAACCCCGGCGAGGGGAGUGAAAAAGAACCUGAAACCGUGUACGUACAAGCAGUGGGAGCACGCUUAGGCGUGUGACUGCGUACCUUUUGUAUAAUGGGUCAGCGACUUAUAUUCUGUAGCAAGGUUAACCGAAUAGGGGAGCCGAAGGGAAACCGAGUCUUAACUGGGCGUUAAGUUGCAGGGUAUAGACCCGAAACCCGGUGAUCUAGCCAUGGGCAGGUUGAAGGUUGGGUAACACUAACUGGAGGACCGAACCGACUAAUGUUGAAAAAUUAGCGGAUGACUUGUGGCUGGGGGUGAAAGGCCAAUCAAACCGGGAGAUAGCUGGUUCUCCCCGAAAGCUAUUUAGGUAGCGCCUCGUGAAUUCAUCUCCGGGGGUAGAGCACUGUUUCGGCAAGGGGGUCAUCCCGACUUACCA